rnacentral:rRNA from 1 species
UACGAAGGGUGCAAACGUUGCUCGGAAUCAUUGGGCGUAAAGCGCACGUGAGGCGGCUUGCCAAGUCGGACGUGAAAUCCCUCAGCUCAACUGAGGACGUGCAUCCGAAACUGGCGAGCUUGAGUACUGAAGAGGAUCGCGGAAUUCCCGGUGUAGAGGUGAAAUUCGUAGAUAUCGGGAGAACACCAGGUGGCGAAGGCGGCGAUCUGGGCAGAUACUGACGCUGAGGUGCGAAAGCGUGGGGAGCAAACAGG